rnacentral:rRNA from 1 species
GAGUUUGAUCGUGGCUCAGAUUGAACGCUGGCGGCAUGCCUUACACAUGCAAGUCGAACGGCAGCAUGAUCUAGCUUGCUAGAUUGAUGGCGAGUGGCGAACGGGUGAGUAAUACAUCGGAACGUGCCCUGUAGUGGGGGAUAACUAGUCGAAAGAUUAGCUAAUACCGCAUACGACCUGAGGGUGAAAGUGGGGGACCGCAAGGCCUCAUGCUAUAGGAGCGGCCGAUGUCUGAUUAGCUAGUUGGUGGGGUAAAGGCCCGACCAAGGCGACGAUCAGUAGCUGGUCUGAGAGGACGAUCAGCCACACUGGGACUGAGACACGGCCCAGACUCCUACGGGAGGCAGCAGUGGGGAAUUUUGGACAAUGGGCGAAAGCCUGAUCCAGCAAUGCCGCGUGUGUGAAGAAGGCC